rnacentral:misc_RNA from 1 species
GGUGGCGGGAGGUUCAGAUGAGCCAAUCACGAUAAGGGUCUGACGAGUCGCUUCGCUCAGUCUCCGCUAACUAAAACAUGGUGGCUCAUACGGAAUUACCUGCCCAGCUUCCACAUGAGAAAAUAGUGAGCAGUGGUAAAGAUCUAGAAUGUAGAAACAGUGACUCAGGCAGCGGCGUGACGGAGAGACAGGAGCUGCAGGAUAAUUCUGUGCAAAAGAACCAUACAAGUCAACCAAAUGGAAGUUCAGCUUGUAAGAAAUCAUACCAUAAGGAAGAAGAAUGCUCGCUGUUUGUGGCCUUCUUCACUUUCCUUUCCUAUGGAGUACUCCUGAUGCUUGGCUAUGUGAGGGAAUUCUUCAUGCCUAUCACCACUAAGGAGAAGAACAGAGAGCAUAAGAAAAAGAAUGCAUUUGUCACAUCACAAAUAAGGGAUAUCGAGGAGUGUCCAUCGUUCACCAACUUCACCAUCUAUCUGUCCUAUGGGGUCCUCUUCCUCGUUGGAUACGUCAAAGAGUUCUUCUACCCACCAUCAACGAAAGAGACAAAUAGAGAGGGAUAUGUGCCUCUUUACAUUGGAUUUGAGAGCUUCUAUACACGCAAUGUUUAUCGCCGUAUUCAAGACUGCUGGAACAGAGCCAUUUCCAGCGUGCCUGGGGCUGAGAUUGACCUUCUGGAGCGGUACACUCCUGACUAUGGCUGGACUAUGAAAUUGACGGGGAAGGUAUUGAAGUGUAUAAAUGCCGGCUCAUACAAUUAUCUUGGGUUUGCGGAGAACCAUGGUCCGUGUCACGAUGCCGCUGAGCUCACCACCAAGGAAGUCGGCAUCACCACUAGCAGCUCACGGCUUGAGCUUGGAACUCUUGAAAUCCAUAAGAAGUUGGAAGCCUUGGUGUCAGAAUUUCUGGGUGUGGAGGAUGCUAUCACUUUUGGCAUGGGGUUUGCCACCAAUGUGCUCAACUUGCCAUCCAUUCUUGGUCCUGGCUGCUUGGUGCUUUCAGAUGAAUUCAACCAUGCCUCUCUCAUCUUAGGCCUGAGACUGUCUGGAGCCACUGUGAAGGUUUUCCAGCAUAACAAUGCAGCUGACCUUGAAAAGAAACUGCGAGAAGCUCUCAUCCAUGGCCACCCAAGAACACGUCGCCCCUGGAAGAAGGCCAUGAUUGUAGUGGAAGGAAUCUACUCCAUGGAAGGAAGUAUUUGUGACCUACCCAAUUUCAUCAGGAUCAAGAAAAAGUACAAGACUUACCUGUAUGUUGAUGAGGCCCAUAGCAUAGGUGCCCUAGGCCCGAGGGGUGGAGGUGUAGUGGACUACUAUGGUGCUGACCCAAAGGAUGUGGACAUCCACAUGGGAACCUUCACUAAGAGUUUUGGUGCUGCUGGUGGAUACAUUGCUGGAUCUAAGGAGCUGGUCAACCACCUGAGAGUGAACAGUCAUGCUCAGUCCUAUGCUGUCUCCAUGUCUCCUCCAGUAGCCCAGCAGAUCAUCACCUCCAUGUCCAUCAUUAUGGGCAAGGACGGUUCUAAUGAAGAAUGUUUGUGCGGGAGCUGACCAAGCGAGGUGUUGCUGGAGUUGGCGUGGGCUUCCCAGCUACAAAAAUCACGGGUGGACGAAUGAGGUUCUGUUUGUCUGCUGCCCACACCAAGGAGAUGCUUGACAAGAUCCUGAAAGAGGUGGAUGUGGUCGGUGACAUGUGUUCCUGCAAGUACUCUAAAAUCCCAAAGAGUGCCAAGCCUAUCGAGUGGUAGAAGAGCUGUGAGGUGUGCCUGUAGGGCGCUCCAGGGACUACACAAACACACACACACACACACACACACACACACACACACACACACACACACACACACACACACACACACACACACACACACACACACACCUAACUAGGUAAAUACACACUUGGAGCACACAGUAACCACUUCUGUACUGCAGAUUCUCUCCUCUACACAAAUAAUAUUUUAGUUAAUUUUUUUUAUUAUAUAGAUUUUAUAUACAACAUUUUAGUGGCAUUCAGCAAUAAGAGUAUGUCUGCAAUUCUUUAGUGUCUCAGAUUUUGCCAAGAGGAAGUUUAGCACCUCCCUAGAUUACAUUAUUCUGUAUGGUGGAGAUGUUCUGAACAGUUAAGUGAUUUAUGUUGACAUCCAGACAACAUUGUAGGAAAAAUCAAGCAGCACCAGACUGCAUGCAUUGUCAUGGUUCAUCUAUUGGUUGAGCUCCACACAGCCAGCAUUAUUACCUGUGUACAUUAUUUGAAGGAGUGGUGAUUUAGUAUACUAGUGUCUAUACAUGUGGUAAAAGUGCUUGUAGUAAAUGCCAUUUCCAUGAAAUAAAUCAGGGCAAGACAAAAAAUUGGUGUUGAAAAUAGGCUCUCAAGACUAUCACUAGAAUACAUUAUUUUGUGCAUCAUAGUGUAGCAGCAUUUUGCCUGUGGAAACUGCUGUCAUUUCAAGAAAUAUAAAAAGAUGCAGUGAGAUUGUUAGUACCACUUGUUGGAUGAAGUAUUGAUAUCUAGUCAGGAGGUUGCACUAGCAGUGGAAACUAUUAUUUGAUUGUGCUUUCAGAAUGUGUUUGCAUUUUGAAACUUGCAUGCCUGGUGGUGCCUCCAUCAUCAUCACUGCUUACUGUUAGCAUGAAUAUUUACAAAUGGUUAUUUUAAUACUGAAAGUAUACUAGAUUGAGUUUUCAGCAUAUAGUUAGUGCCUUGUUGGGAUAGGUAAAAAAUUCUGAGGAUGCAGAAUUAUUGAACUUGUAAGACAAAGACGGUAUAAAGAAAUAUUCAUUUUUCUGAUGUGAAAUAAUUGUUGUAGCUAUUUGUGAUGCAAUAAUGAAUAAAAUAAAAAAAAGAUGGAAACUAAUAUGAAUCAAUAUUUGUAGUUAUCAGUACAGCUAUAUUUUAGAAAGCAUUAAAAAACUUACUGUAAUCAAUAUUUUAUUACAAAACUAGAAGAAAAUUGAUAUAUUUCAAGGUCACAGUGGUAGUAAAAAGACAGAUUUACAAUAAAAGGAGAAAGUAGUAGUGAACUAGUAAGUGAGGUGUCAUGUAUCAGGAAUCACAGGUUAGGUAGGUUUGAGCAACAGACGCUUAGUUUUUUCAAGUUGUUAUGGGUCGUUACCCAGCAUGUGCCUUCUUCAACACUGAAGCUGAAUGAUGCCUGUGUUAGACCACUCUACUGUCACUGCCUGCUUGUAGAGUAUUCAGCACACAAGCCAAAGAAAAAGUUGAUGAGUUAUUGUAUGUGUUCAUUCAGUUCAGCAAAGCUUGGCUCUGAUGACUUCACAGUGAUAUGUAUUCCACUCUGGUGUUCCAAGUGCUUCUUUGUUGGUCAUCCUUUUUUUUUAUCAUGCUUUCCUCCACAAGUACUGAACAAUGUACGUAUGUUUGCAUAGUACGUAAGUGACUUAAGUGUUUAAGGUUCAUAAAAUGUAUAAGAUUUGUUGACAGAGAAAUAGUUCUAUCUCAUGAAUUCUUAUGUAUGAGACCAAUGUUCUUGUCUCCUCUGUGCAAUUGGAGAUGUAUAUUGUUGAAGCAUUCAUAGAUAAUUAAUGUAGCAUUGUCUUCAUGUUAUGAUUCUUGUUAUAUCUGUCACUCUGAGGGUAAACAAUGAUGAUUCUCUAAUUAGUAUGUUAUAUUGACAUGCGAUUCCUAACUUUUCAUGAUCGAUAUUUUUACUCAUAUAUUAUAUGCUGCAAGAAAAUUCCAAUUUAAUAAAAUUUCACAAUAAUUUUGCCAGGUCAGUAUUGGUAUGUACCUUGUCACACUAAAGUGCCAUCUCAACUUCCUAAUUGGCUGAAGUGAAACAAGGUUGUUUCUCAGUGUGAUGCCUUUCUUGGCCAUGUUGCUGUGUAAAGUGAAAUGUGUGUGUUUAAGUUACUAUUCUGAUUCUCUAUGCAUAUAUAUAUAUAUAUAUAUAUAUAUAUAUAUAUAUAUAUAUAUAUAUAUAUAUAUAUAUAUAUAUAUAUAUAUAUAUAUUAUAUAUAUAUGGGGUAAGUUUAUUUACUGCCAUUCAUUGUAUUAAUAGGUUUUAGAUAUUGCAUCUGUGUUAUUUUCUUGUUUUCUGUAUUGAAUUUGAAUUAUAGGAAUUAUUCCAUUAAUGAAACUUAUGACAUGAUUGAUUUUCACUCGGAUAUGAAUCGUGGUGAACCAGCGGGCCUUCCAUAAAUGGUAAUGAUAAUAGAUUGAUAUAAAACUGAAACCAUUGUCACCAUUAUUCAUAAGUCCCAAAUCUCUGCAUCAUUCUAAGAUUCAAGUUUUAGUCUGGUUUGGGAAUGUUGCAUUAGUGUCAGAGCACUUAUGUAUAAUUACUCUUCCAUCUGUAUUGUACCUUGAUCACCUCCACAUCCUGUAGCAAGAGGGACAAACCUGGAUCUUGUUACAGUCCUGAUCUUGCAAGCUAUAGGUAUAAUCUUCACUGUAUCAUUUUAGAAGAUCCAGGGAAACCAUUGGAGUUUUGGUAAAUACUUAUGUUUCUGAUAGCAAAAUCAUAAUAUUCAUAUUAGUCUUAUUAUACCUGUUGUUUGAGUGCUUAAGACUUUUGAUUUGUGUUCCUAUUUUGUUAAUAGGGAUAUAGAGAUUUUUAAUUUUGUACUUCGGCUUAUAUCCUGCUUCACCUUUUAAUAUCUUAAUUUUUCCAUGGAUUCAAAGUUUUGUCAAUCACAAUCUUCUUACCUUCAAGUUUCAGAGUUAUCAAUAUAUUUAUUAUGAAGCUCAAAUUACUUAGUGAGUGCUUUAUCAAGAGUUCAUAGUUCUUACAUCUGUGAAAAUAUUUUUUUUACUCAUUGUUGCUGUGAAAAUAAUUAUUGCACAUCACUAUGUCUGAUGCACAAGUUUGCUUCUACAUAUCCUAUUGCCUGUCAGCAUGCCAUGUCUCUGCCACUAGAGAAUCCUAGUGUGGCCUGUCCAAUCUAGUAUAGGGUAGUGAAUUUGUCUGGAGACUGCAAGUCAAAAGAAGCAUAACUUCUCAAGUGAUGAACUUGAGAUAUCUUGUAUUGUGAUGUUACUGAUGCUAGAAAACAAACAUGGUUCCAAAGCCAGAGUUUGCACCUAUGACAUUUUUAUCCCAGCUGUGUACACUUUUGGGAAUUAUCUGGCAUUGCUCCAGGCAUGGCACACUUGACAGUUCUGUUGGGGACUGAGGAUGACACUGCUCCAGGCAGUUCCACUAUAUUACUGGCCUUUGUUUUAAUUCUUUCUUUUUUUUUUUAUACGUUUUUUUUUUUUUUUUUUUCAUUUCUCUUGAUAGUAUUGAAAACAUUGGACAUUUUAAUCUUGAGGCGCUAGCUAGAAGUAGUAUAUACAAGUAGGUUGCCUGUUAACCUGUCAAGAGUUGUGUGGUCCAGUGUGAAGAGUAUUAAUAUUUUCCCACCUGUUUUGUGCCAUCAAGAAGGCAGAUCAUGAAGUUCCUUGAUCUUUUGACAUCAGUCUUCUUUUCUGACAAAAAAUUUACUUUUUGACAUUUAGUCCUGUUUUUUUCAUCUUUAUUAUACUUUUUAUUCAAUUUUCAUUUCAUUCUCUUUGUGAUGUGAUCUUGUUUUGAUUACUAAGCAAUGUGAAAGUAGUGAGAUUUUCUGAUAGUACUGGUAUUUCAAUGCAGUGUCAUCUAAAACCUUUUCCUUGAGUGCACAGCAUCCAGCUAUCACCUGUCUUUUGUUUGUUACAAGUUUUAUUUUGUGUUUGUGAAUGCUGCAUAUCAUUAAAUUUGAGUUCUGAUCUGAAGUUCAGCCUGAUGGCCAAAGAUUUAAACGUCAUCUUUUGUAUUGUUUAUAUUUCUCAUUUGCUUGUAAUUGGAGUUGAAAUUGCAUUCUGUAUAAUACAAAAUCUAGAGUUUUG